UUGCAAAGUCUUGGAGAUUGACCUCCUCUGUGUAUCACCAGAACAGAGACUGCACAGGCAGCAGCAGGGCAAGGUCCCUACAGGCCAUCCUGCCACAUGAAGAAGACAUGUGUCAGGCUCCAGGCCAGUUGGUGCCUGGCAUCUCUGCUGAGACUGCCAACAUUGGAACACUAGUGUGCCACAUAACGCUCCUUAGGAGAUGGGGACACUUGUCUACCAAGAACAGGACUGAAACCCACCAGCUCUUUCAGGCCAGAUGUCAGACGAGAAUGACUUUCCGUCACUUCCAGCUUGAACCAGCAGGGGGCGAUUGAAUUUCAAACAGCGCGAAGCAACACCCCAACGUACGUUUAUUUCUCUGGAAUUUGCCAACCUCUUGUGGCUUUAAAGCUGAGCUGGAAAUCUCAUGAGAACAGGCCCACUUGGGAGAAAAGCAAAAAUGCCAGAACUUCCUGCUUCUAUCCAGGCCCAAAGAGAGUCUCCUCUGUACGGCUGUUUGUGGCCCUGGAACUACAGUGACCUGGUGGAGGCAGAUGGCACUAACCCAAACUUUCUGGAAGCACACAAAGGGCUGCUGACAGGCAGCGAAAUAUUUGCUGCAACAUUCCAAAUGCUUGUUUCCUCAUCCUGUCUUCACUGGGCUUUGUCCCAGCCAGGCUGUCAUAUGGCCUUUUCUCCUGGAAUGAAGAGAAAAAUGCCACAAUCCCUUGGUGGGGCUCCACCAGAAAAGACAUUCUCAGGUACUGCAGAAUUUUUGGAAGUGCCCAAUGUCCUCUCCCAUUGGAACCGUUGUCACAAGGUUGAUCUUCCCCGAGCCCCCAAACAAUGUCAUUAAUGAUUCCUCUCGUGGUGUGGUCUGAAGCCUGAGAGUUCAAGCCGUGGACCAGAACUUGGGCUUGUCUCCAUCAAUUUAGUUCAAUGCUGGCUUGCACCAUCUUGACUCCAGUGGCAGUUAAAUAUGCCAGGCCAUUUCCUGGAUGGUUUAGAGGAAAUAAUCCUACUUCAUGCCUA